rnacentral:rRNA from 1 species
UUUUAUAGAUGCAAUUAGAUUACAAAUUUUAAAUCUAAUUUCGGUAACCGUAAAUUGAUUAGAUUAAAGGAUUAAAACUUGGCUCUGAUUUUAGGUAUGGCGUGUACUAAAGGAUACACAUGGCUUUUUUAGAAAGAGGUGAGGUGGAAGAUAAAUUAUUAAAAGUUAGCGUAAAGUUAUAGUGAUAAAGUCUUUUUGGAUGUUAUAGUGAACAUGAUGUCCUGAAAUCCCCAUUAACACCAGUGUUGAAGAUUAAGAAAAGGGCGAAAGCUUGUAUUAGUUUAGUAAAUAAAAUUUGGUUAAUUUGGUGCCAGCAUCCGCGGUUAAACCAAGAAAUUUAGUCAUUCUUUUAUGGUAAAAAGACAGUUAAGCAGAAAAAUAGAGGAUCAUUAGAUCCUUAGUACAGGAGUAAAAUCUAAAUACUAAGAGUUAUACCUGACAUGGUUUAUUAAAGGUGCUGAAUCUGUGAUAGCUUUAAGGGAAACUGGGAUUGGAUACCCCAUUAUUUUUAGUUGUAAAUUUAGUUAAGACUUACCGGAGUACUACGAAUAAAAAAGUUUAAAACUCAAAGGGCUUGGCGGUGUUUUAGACCUCUCAGGGGAACCUGUCUCAUAAUCGACAAUCCACGUUAAACCUAACCUUUUAUAGCGAUACAGCUUGUAUACCGUCGUCGUCAGGUAACUUCUUAAAAUAUAGUAGUUAGCCCGAGAAUCAAGUUAAUUAAAACGUCAGAUCAAGGUGCAGCCAAUAAAAAGGUGAGGAUGGGUUACAAUUAUAUAUUUGUAAAUACGGAAAAUACUUGAAACAAAGUAUCUUAAAGGAGGACUUGAAAGUAAUUCUAAUUAUAUAAACAGGAUGAAUAAGGCUCUGAAACGUGCACACAUCGCCCGUCGCUCUCGUUGAAAAAUGAGAUAAGUCGUAACAUAGUAGGGGUAAUGGAAAUUGUUCCUAGGCUG